UACAGAGGGUGCGAGCGUUAAUCGGAAUUACUGGGCGUAAAGCGCACGUAGUCGGCUUUGCAGGUCGGUUGUGAAAUCCCCGGGCUCAACCUGGGAACUGCAUCCGAGACUGCAUUGCUAGAGUAUGGGAGAGGAAAGCGGAAUUUCUGGUGUAGCAGUGAAAUGCGUAGAUAUCAGAAGGAACAUCAGUGGCGAAGGCGGCUUUCUGGACCAAUACUGACGAUCAGGUGCGAAAGCGUGGGGAGCAAACAGG
rnacentral:rRNA from 1 species